rnacentral:tRNA from 1 species
GGAGAGGUCGCAUAGUGGCCGAGUGCGCACGCUUGGAAAGCGUGUAACCUGUAACAAGGUUCGCGAGUUCGAAUCUCGCCCUCUCCG